rnacentral:lncRNA from 1 species
CUGAACUUCAGAAUUUGGGGAUCUGGGAGUGGUCACAUGGUAUGGGCAUGGCGUGUUACAAUCCACAGUGUAGUCAGAUGUAGCAGACUGUGCCCAAGUGUGGGCACAUUUUUUAAAGAUGUGGAAUCAAGGUGUUUUCUCCCUAGACUGUAGGAGGAAAAUCCGUGUGUGUUGUGUCAGUUCAAGACAAGAUUUACCACCAGAUGAGUGGAGCUCAUGUAAAGUGUUCUCGGCUGAGUGAGGAAGAAAGAAGGAAUGAACUGUGGAAAACACGCCAGAAGCUAUGGACUCUGUACAGACUGCAGAAGACUCUUUCUCUAUGUUGUGACUCUGAGCUUGUCCAGGCAACUUGCUGAGAUGGUUUUGAUGCAAACAAAAAUGAAUGAUGCUGGCUGGCCUGGAACUCAUGGUCCUGGAACACGUGCUGAUUACAUCAGUAUCCCCUGUGUUAGCCUUAUGGUCAUGUUUCUCCUCGUCUGGCAAGAAAUGGACCUUAAAGGAAGAACUGACUCCCAUAGUGUAAGAGGAAAGCUGUACUCUAGACAGCUGUGUGGCAAGUCGCUGGAACCUAUUUGUAGAGGAGAAGGGGAAUACAUGUGGAAUCCCCAGCCUCGCCCUCCCUGCCUGCAACUUUCCAGCUCAUUCUGCAUCUUGUCUGUGAGCACGUCCCUGCGUUCUCUUCCAGGCAGAAGUUUCCUUCACGCGCAUGCGCUUCAGCUUACCGCACCACUCCAAGUUUGUGGCUUUCUUGCUUUAAACUCUUGUUCCAGUUUCAUUUAGUACUUCAUCUAAUAUGGUAAAGAAACCCUGAAACAAAUCGAUGUACCUUCUGAGCCAUCUUAAGCAGACACUGCCAGGUUUUAACGUGGUUUUUCCCUUUUAGCCCUUCUGAAUCGAGUUUCUGAGGCCAAAUUCUUUGGGGAAACAUUAUGCCUAUUUAAGGCCUCCAAACUUCAUGCUUCGAUACAAACGGCCUAAGGGCGAGGAUUUUAAAUGGAUGGAGUGGAGAAGUUUUCACUUCCUUAAGCAAACAUAUAGCAUUUCCUUCCAUGUGUCAGAAAUGAAAACAAAAAAUACAAACUAAUUUGUCAUGAAAUUUUCCCCUUUUAUAAUUCCCUCUAUGGUACUUUUUCAACCUAACAAGUCAUAUUUUCUCUUCUUUCGUGUCAGGUUUAUAGCUUUGCUGGUCACACUUUCAAUAACUGUGAUGGACGGUCUUCGGCUCCGUAUAUCAUGUUCAAGCAUUCAGCUUAAAAGUAUCUUUGUGUUCACAGCUUGCUUCCUGUCACCUUGUGGAGCCCCGCUCCCCACCGCAGAUGCACAUGGCGUUAUGUUAUAUGCGCACAGAGCUUUGGGGAAAGCUCAUAUUUAGGGGCAUUAAGUAAGCAGAGGAGGUUGGCGGCUCAUUGGGCUGAGCCUGACCUCAGUCUGAAAUGAGGCAAAUUGUCAUAUUUAUGACUCUGAGUAAGUCAGUAAUAUAUUGGUGCUCACAUGUGGGAGCAUGGUCGUUCCUCGACAUGUGGCCUCCAGUUCGGUUUUCUCUCAAGCGGUGAUUAUCACCUAAGUACAUCUCCCCCCCCCUUUCUUUUUGCCUGUCUCUGCUCUUUCUUUCCCUCUCUCCUUUCUCUUCAGUCUCCUGUUCUUAUUUUUCUUCUUCCUUUCUCUUUUCUGAGCUCUGACCUAACUCUGUGAAAUCUAUAAUAUUUAUGUCAAGCAUAAAAGAUAAAUUAGUCAAGAGACUUCAGAUAACUAAAAUUAUUACCCCUUUUGCCUCUACCUUCUGCCCUUUCUGUCUAACCACGCUGAUACAGUGAGCACGUGCAAGCAUCUGCAUGUGCAAGCAUAUAGUCACAGACUCAAUGUCACAUGCAAUCACACACAUAUACACACAAUUACUCUCUCUCCCUCUCUCUCUCUCUUUCACACAAACAUACACACAUACAAAGUUUCAUACACCUGAUCACAUGUACACAAUCACACAUGGUCUGACAUGCAAGCACACUCAUGAACACAGUCUCACAUACACAAUCACACACACACACACAUAAUCACACACUGUCUCACAUAGUCACACACAUACACAGUCUCACAUACCUGAGUACAUGUACACAAUCACACGCGGUCUUACACACAUGCACAUGUAUGAACACAGCCUCACAUACACAACCACACACAUUCUCACAAUCAUUGCAAUUACAUAAGCACACAUAAAAUCACAGAUACAUAUACCAUCUCAUAUACCUAAACACAUGCACACAGUUGCACACACCGCUCAUACACACGUACAUUCACAUACAUAUAGUCUCACACAAGAAUAUAAUGACACAUACAUGAGCGCCCACAAUAGCACACACAUGUACAGUCUCACACACACACAUAUACAAGCACAUAUGUAAGUCUCCUAUGUAUGUGCACAUGCUCACAUACUAAGAAUCUCCCAUGGUUGUUAGGGCUGGGACUAUGGCCUGGGAGUCUGAUCUGUCGGGUGCUUUGGGCUCCGAAGCCGAGUCCUUUGUUCUCUUUGCUCUGCUGCCUUUCUGUAAAUUAGAGCAGGAGAAACGAAGGUCCCAUGAGCUCUGAUUUAGGGGGGAAUAUUGUCAAGAGUAAAUCACCGAGAAUCGAGAAGUAUAGAGAACCCCACUGUGGACAUCUCUAUUGUUCCUAGUUUGCUUAGCUCCACUGCCUGGCUACAAAGCUGCUUUUCUCUGAAGUCUAGGUUUUAAAUAACAACCCCACUUGCAAUCCAUUGUGGUCAGGAAACUGUGUAGGGGUUCUCCACCUCCUGCCCCUCCCUCCAGUGUGUUCUGGAAGAUGUUCCUCCAGUGUGUCUAACCCCUGAUGCUUGGUGGAGUUGCCAGCAGUCGUUCACUCUGUCCCCGCCCCUUAUAUAUGGGUCACAGGUGUUUGGAGACCACAUGGAACCACUGUGACUGGCCUCUCUUCUCUCCCUCUCCCUAUUCCUCUCCCUCUCCCGUGUCUCUCUCUCUGUCUCUCCUAUGUGUGUGUAUAUAUAUCUUUUUGUCUGUCUGUGGGGUGUGUGUUUGUCUCUCUCUUUUGUGUGCAUACAUGUGUAUAUCUUUCUGUCUGCCUGUGUGCUGUGUGUUUGUCUGUUUCUGCCUCUCUUUAGUGUAUGUGUGUGUAUGUGUCUAUCUUCUGUCUGUAUGUCAUGUGUCUGUCUCCCCAUCUAUGUUUCCCUUUUGUGUUUGUAUGUGUAUACCUUUCUGUCAGUGUGCUGUGUGUCUGUCUCUCUGUCUAUGUCUCUUUCCCUCUCUGUUUUUCUCAGCUGAGGAAGCAAGGCCUCAGGAACACAGGAACUGUCCCUGCUGUCAUCUAGAUUCCCUCGCUGCACUCUGAAUGGCUGUGGAGGUUGGAGUCACAAGCCUGACACUUGAGUGCUGAUUUCUGAGUGUGGUGAGCACCAGGUCAAGAUGGCACUUGCGUUCCUUCCUGUAUUGCUCUUUGUGUUGCUAAGGAGACAUGUGAGAUGUGUUUCCCACGAUUUACCCCUUUGAUUUAGCAGGAAGAUGGUCUCGGAGUAGGAACUUGGGCACCAGAGGACUCUGCUUUCUGUGCGGUCCCUUUCUGGUCCCUGGGAGAUGCUGGUGAACUUUCCCUCACUUUGUUUCCUUCUCAGUGAUUUGAAAGUGUUGAUUCUCUUCAUGGCCACUCUCUUGCUGUAAUAACAUUUGAUGUAUCCCCCCCCCUUUUCAAAAAAUAAAAAUAGCC